UUCCCUAACACAGCAUUUCAACUUAUGUGUAAACAGAUUGUUACACCUGAUUUACUUUUCAAAUUAGGGGUUUCUUUCACCUGAUUUCGUUACUAAAUUAGGAUUUAAUCGUGCUUUGAAGCAAACCCCAUUUCCCGAUUGGAAUUGGGGACUUAAACCCCCAAUUUCAAUCUCCAUCUAAUUCUUACCUCUUUUUCCUCCUCCAAUUAGACUUGCAUAGUUUUUACCUUCAUCAUUCUUGAUAGAAUUCCUGAAUAAGAACAUAAGCGAGGUACAGAUUAGCUUGAAAUGAGUUUGCACCACUUGGCAAUGAGCAUUGACCGAGUGUUGAUUUUGACUGUUGACUACUACACAUAAUAACAAAAUUACAGAACGAACGGAACGGCAGGCACAUCGCGCAUGCAUGUUAUUCUAGUUUACAUAGAUGAAACCUCCGAUUCUUUUUGGAAUCGUGUGCGUAUUGUUUUUGUGGCGUUAGACGGAAAUCGUAAUGGAAGAUCGAUGAAACUCAUUUAGAAAAGAUUCGAGCAGCUCUUUCCACAAUUGGAAGCCUUCAAAGACGAAAUGGACGUCGUAAAGAUAAACAAUCUCAAUAUGGCACGUGCACAAAGAUAGGAGAUGGCCGAAGUUGAUUAUGAGGAUGUCCAUGGCAAGAAGUUUGAACUUCAUGAUUGUUAUCAUGUCUUGGAAGAAAGUAUCCUACGCUGACUUCUUCCACUAUUAUUAAGACCCAUGUUUGCUAUGUAAUGAUUUUUUUUUUUAAAGUUUAUGCUAUGAAAUAUGUAUUCCUUUUCGUUUCAGUGAAAAAUGUAUGGUCUUUCCCUUCUUGGUUA